rnacentral:rRNA from 1 species
GGCCCUUCGGGGUACACGAGUGGCGAACGGGUGAGUAACACGUGGGUAAUCUGCCCUGCACUUCGGGAUAAGCCCGGGAAACUGGGUCUAAUACCGGAUAUUCAACUUCUGCCGCAUGGUGGUUGUUGGAAAGUUUUUCGGUGCAGGAUGUGCCCGCGGCCUAUCAGCUUGUUGGUGGGGUAAUGGCCUACCAAGGCGACGACGGGUAGCCGGCCUGAGAGGGUGAUCGGCCACAUUGGGACUGAGACACGGCCCAGACUCCUACGGGAGGCAGCAGUGGGGAAUAUUGCACAAUGGGCGCAAGCCUGAUGCAGCGACGCCGCGUGAGGGAUGACGGUCUUCGGAUUGUAAACCUCUUUCGGCAGGGACGAAGCGCAAGUGACGGUACCUGCAGAAGAAGCACCGGCCAACUACGUGCCAGCAGCCGCGGUAAUACGUAGGGUGCAAGCGUUGUCCGGAAUUACUGGGCGUAAAGAGCUCGUAGGCGGUUUGUCGCGUCGUCUGUGAAAUCCUACAGCUUAACUGUGGGCGUGCAGGCGAUACGGGCAGACUUGAGUACUACAGGGGAGACUGGAAUUCCUGGUGUAGCGGUGAAAUGCGCAGAUAUCAGGAGGAACACCGGUGGCGAAGGCGGGUCUCUGGGUAGUAACUGACGCUGAGGAGCGAAAGCAUGGGUAGCGAACAGGAUUAGAUACCCUGGUAGUCCAUGCCGUAAACGGUGGGCGCUAGGUGUGGGUUUCCUUCCACGG